rnacentral:rRNA from 1 species
UACGUAGGUGGCAAGCGUUGUCCGGAUUUACUGGGCGUAAAGGGAGCGUAGGUGGAUGUUUAAGUGGGAUGUGAAAUACUCGGGCUUAACCUGGGUGCUGCAUUCCAAACUGGAUAUCUAGAGUGCAGGAGAGGAAAGUAGAAUUCCUAGUGUAGCGGUGAAAUGCGUAGAGAUUAGGAAGAAUACCAGUGGCGAAGGCGACUUUCUGGACUGUAACUGACACUGAGGCUCGAAAGCGUGGGGAGCAAACAGG